UUUAAACAGACAUUCAGGCACUUGUCUGUGAACUUAAAGUGUCCCACACCCUAUUUCCUCAUGCAUACUGCUGAUUGCCAAAAUGUUCUGUCUCUGUCCGCCUGAUCCUCCAUUCCUGCUUCCUGGGACCUGGGAAUGGAGAAUUGUCCUCUGAACUCCUCGUGCCCUCCCUGCUCAGGAUAUCAGCACAGAGGGACUAAGGCAAUUGCCUACCCUGCUUGGGAAAUGCAGAGGCCUGGUGUGGAGUUUAGCAGUGUCAUGAGCUUGCAUCAGCCUGGAUCACUGAAUCACAGCAUGUAGGACACACUAUGGAGAGUUUCUCGUGCCAAGAUCAGACGCGGUAUAUGCAAGAAUAAAUGUGUGCAUGAAUCAAA